CCAACAGGCAUUGCCCCUAGUAACGGCGAGUGAGCGGCAACAGCUCAAAUUUGAAAGCUAGCCUUCGGGUUCGCAUUGUAAUUUGUAGAGGAUGAUUUGGGGAAGCCGCCUGUCUAAGUUCCUUGGAACAGGACGUCAUAGAGGGUGAGAAUCCCGUAUGUGACAGGAAAUGGCACCCUAUGUAAAUCUCCUUCGACGAGUCGAGUUGUUUGGGAAUGCAGCUCUAAAUGGGAGGUAAAUUUCUUCUAAAGCUAAAUAUUGGCGAGAGACCGAUAGCGCACAAGUAGAGUGAUCGAAAGAUGAAAAGCACUUUGGAAAGAGAGUUAAAAAGCACGUGAAAUUGUUGAAAGGGAAGCGCUUGCAAUCAGACUUGUUUAAACUGUUCGGCCGGUCUUCUGACCGGUUUACUCAGUUUGGACAGGCCAGCAUCAGUUUCGGCGGCCGGAUAAAGGCUCUGGGAAUGUGGCCUCCACUUCGGUGGAGGUGUUAUAGCCCAGGGUGUAAUACGGCCAGCCGGGACUGAGGUCCGCGCUUCGGCUAGGAUGCUGGCGUAAUGGUUGUAAAGCGACCCGUCUUGAAACACGGACCCAAAAA
rnacentral:rRNA from 1 species